GGAUGAACGCUGGCGGUAUGCCUAACACAUGCAAGUCGAACGGAACCUUAGGGUUUAGUGGCGGACGGGUGAGUAACGCGUGAGAAUCUGCCUUUAGGAUGGGGACAACAGUUGGAAACGACUGCUAAUACCCGAUAUGGUGAAAACUGAAAGAUUUAUCGCCUAAAGAUGAGCUCGCGUCAGAUUAGCUAGAUGGUGUGGUAAAGGCGCACCAUGGCAGUGAUCUGUAGCUGGUCUGAGAGGAUGAGCAGCCACACUGGGACUGAGACACGGCCCAGACUCCUACGGGAGGCAGCAGUGGGGAAUUUUCCGCAAUGGGCGAAAGCCUGACGGAGCAAUACCGCGUGAGGGAGGAAGGCUCUUGGGUCGUAAACCUCUUUUCUCUGGGAAGAUAAUGACGGUACCAGAGGAAUAAGCAUCGGCUAACUCCGUGCCAGCAGCCGCGGUAAUACGGAGGAUGCAAGCGUUAUCCGGAAUGAUUGGGCGUAAAGAGUCCGUAGGUGGUUAUUCAAGUCUGUGGUUAAAGAGUGGAGCUUAACUCCAUAAAGGCCAUGGAAACUGAGUAACUAGAGUAAGGUAGGGGUAGAGGGAAUUCUCGGUGUAGCGGUGAAAUGCGUAGAUAUCGGGAAGAACACCGGUGGCGAAAGCGCUCUACUGGACCUAAACUGACACUGAGGGACGAAAGCUAGGGGAGCGAAAGGGAUUAGAUACCCCUGUAGUCCUAGCCGUAAACGAUGGAUACUAGGUGUUUCGGGUAUCGACCCCUGAAGUGCCGAAGCUAACGCGUUAAGUAUCCCGCCUGGGGAGUACGCACGCAAGUGUGAAACUCAAAGGAAUUGACGGGGGCCCGCACAAGCGGUGGAGUAUGUGGUUUAAUUCGAUGCAACGCGAAGAACCUUACCAAGGCUUGACAUCCUACGAAUCUUAGCGAAAGUUGAGAGUGCCUUCGGGAGCGUAGAGACAGGUGGUGCAUGGCUGUCGUCAGCUCGUGUCGUGAGAUGUUGGGUUAAGUCCCGCAACGAGCGCAACCCUCGUCCUUAGUUGCCAGCAUUAAGUUGGGCACUUUAGGGAGACUGCCGGUGACAAACCGGAGGAAGGUGGGGAUGACGUCAAGUCAGCAUGCCCCUUAUGUCUUGGGCUACACACGUACUACAAUGCUACGGACAAAGGGCAGCCAACUAGCGAUAGUGAGCUAAUCCCAUAAACCGUGGCACAGUUCAGAUUGCAGGCUGCAACUCGCCUGCAUGAAGGAGGAAUCGCUAGUAAUCGCCGGUCAGCAUACGGCGGUGAAUCCGUUCCCGGGCCUUGUACACACCGCCCGUCACACCAUGGGAGUUGGUCACGCCCGAAGUCGUUACCCUAACCGAAAGGAGGGGGACGCCGAAGGUAGGGCUGAUGACUGGGGUGAAGUCGUAACAAGGUA
rnacentral:rRNA from 1 species